rnacentral:rRNA from 2 species
GGUUGUAGCUGGCUCCUCGGAGC